UAGCUAGUUGGUGAGGUAACGGCUUACCAAGGCGACGAUCUGUAGCGGGUCUGAGAGGAUGAUCCGCCACACUGGAACUGAGACACGGUCCAGACUCCUACGGGAGGCAGCAGUGGGGAAUUUUGGACAAUGGGGGCAACCCUGAUCCAGCCAUGCCGCGUGAGUGAAGAAGGCCUUCGGGUUGUAAAGCUCUUUCGGCCGGGAAGAAAUCGCAUGGGCCAAUACCCUGUGUGGAUGACGGUACCGGAAUAAGAAGCACCGGCUAACUACGUGCCAGCAGCCGCGGUAAUACGUAGGGUGCGAGCGUUAAUCGGAAUUACUGGGCGUAAAGCGUGCGCAGGCGGUUUUGUAAGACAGGCGUGAAAUCCCCGGGCUCAACCUGGGAACUGCGUUUGUGACUGCAAGGCUAGAGUACGGCAGAGGGGGGUGGAAUUCCACGUGUAGCAGUGAAAUGCGUAGAGAUGUGGAGGAACACCAAUGGCGAAGGCAGCCCCCUGGGUCGAUACUGACGCUCAUGCACGAAAGCGUGGGUAGCAAACAGGAUUAGAUACCCUGGUAGUCCACGCCCUAAACUAUGUCAACUAGGUGUUGGGUGGGUAAAACCAUUUAGUACCGUAGCUAACGCGUGAAGUUGACCACCUGGGGAGUACGGCCGCAAGGUUAAAACUCAAAGGAAUUGACGGGGACCCGCACAAGCGGUGGAUGAUGUGGAUUAAUUCGAUGCAACGCGAAAAACCUUACCUACCCUUGACAUGCCAGGAACUUGCCAGAGAUGGCUUGGUGCCCGAAAGGGAGCCUGGACACAGGUGCUGCAUGGCUGUCGUCAGCUCGUGUCGUGAGAUGUUGGGUUAAGUCCCGCAACGAGCGCAACCCUUGUCGUUAAUUGCCAUCAUUUAGUUGGGCACUUUAGCGAGACUGCCGGUGACAAACCGGAGGAAGGUGGGGAUGACGUCAAGUCCUCAUGGCCCUUAUGGGUAGGGCUUCACACGUCAUACAAUGGUCGGUACAAAGGGUCGCCAAGCCGCGAGGUGGAGCCAAUCCCAGAAAGCCGAUCGUAGUCCGGAUUGCAGGCUGCAACUCGCCUGCAUGAAGUCGGAAUCGCUAGUAAUCGUGGAUCAGCAUGUCACGGUGAAUACGUUCCCGGGUCUUGUACACACCGCCCGUCACACCAUGGGAGCGGGUUCCGCCAGAAGUAGGUAGCCUAACCGCAAGGAGGGCGCUUACCACGGCGGGGUUCGUGACUGGGGUGAAGUCGUAACAAGGUAGCCGUAGGGGAACCUGCGGCUG
rnacentral:rRNA from 1 species